GACGAACGCUGGCGGCGUGCUUAACACAUGCAAGUCGAACGGAAAGGCCCUGCUUUUGUGGGGUGCUCGAGUGGCGAACGGGUGAGUAACACGUGAGUAACCUGCCCUUGACUUUGGGAUAACUUCAGGAAAUUGGGGCUAAUACCGGAUAGGAGCUCCUGCUGCAUGGUGGGGGUUGGAAAGUUUCGGCGGUUGGGGAUGGACUCGCGGCUUAUCAGCUUGUUGGUGGGGUAGUGGCUUACCAAGGCUUUGACGGGUAGCCGGCCUGAGAGGGUGACCGGCCACAUUGGGACUGAGAUACGGACCAGACUCCUACGGGAGGCAGCAGUGGGGAAUAUUGCACAAUGGGCGGAAGCCUGAUGCAGCAACGCCGCGUGCGGGAUGACGGCCUUCGGGUUGUAAACCGCUUUCGCCUGUGACGAAGCGUGAGUGACGGUAAUGGGUAAAGAAGCACCGGCUAACUACGUG
rnacentral:rRNA from 1 species